UACCUGGUUGAUCCUGCCAGUAGUCAUAUGCUUGUCUCAAAGAUUAAGCCAUGCAAGUCUAAGUACGAGCUCUCGUACAGUGAAACUGCGAAUGGCUCAUUAAAUCAGUUAUGGUUCAUUUGAUCGUACAGUUUACUUGGAUAACUGUGGUAAUUCUAGAGCUAAUACAUGCGAGAAGCGCCGACCUCGCGGGAGGCGUGCAUUUAUCAGACCAAAAACCGGCCGGCGUCUUCGGGCGCGUUCGCCUUGGUGACUCUGGAUAACUUUGCGGAUCGCACGGUCUAGCACCGGCGACGGAUCAUUCAAGUGUCUGCCCUAUCAACUUUCGUCGGUACGGUAUUUGCCUACCGAGGUUCUUACGGGUGACGGGGAAUCAGGGUUCGAUUCCGGAGAGGGAGCCUGAGAAACGGCUACCACAUCCAAGGAAGGCAGCAGGCGCGCAAAUUACCCAUUCCCGACGCGGGGAGGUAGUGACGAAAAAUAACAAUGCAGGACUCGUUCGAGGCCCUGUAAUUGGAAUGAGUACACUUUAAAAGCUUUAACGAGUAUCCAUUGGAGGGCAAGUCUGGUGCCAGCAGCCGCGGUAAUUCCAGCUCCAAAAGUAUAUAUUUAAGUUGUUGCGGUUAAAAAGCUCGUAGUUGGAUUUUGGGCGCAGGCGGCCGG
rnacentral:ncRNA from 1 species